rnacentral:rRNA from 1 species
GAUGAACGCUGGCGGCGUGCUUAAUACAUGCAAGUCGAACGGUGUAGCAAUACACAGUGGCGCACGGGUGCGUAACACGUAUGCAACCUACCUUACAUUGGGGGAUAGCCUUUCGAAAGGGAGAUUAAUACCGCAUAAGACAGUAACUGGGCAUCCAGUAGCUGUUAAAGAUUUAUCGAUGUAAGCUGGGCAUGCGUCCAAUUAGUUAGUUGGCGAGGUAAUGGCCCACCAAGACGAUGAUUGGUAGGGGAACUGAGAGGUCAAUCCCCCACACUGGCACUGAGAUACGGGCCAGACUCCUACGGGAGGCAGCAGUAGGGAAUAUUGGGCAAUGGGCGCAAGCCUGACCCAGCCAUGCCGCGUGCAGGAAGAAGGCGUUAUGCGUUGUAAACUGCUUUUAUACAGGAAGAAACGACCCUUGCGAGGGGCAUUGACGGUACUGUAUGAAUAAGCACCGGCUAACUCCGUGCCAGCCGCCGCUGUAAGAC